AGUGAACGCUGGCGGCGUGCUUAACACACGCAAGUCGAACGAGAACGGAUUAUAGCUUGCUAUAAUUGUCAGCUAAGUGGCGCACGGGUGAGUAAUGUAUAGGUAAUAUGCCUCUUACUAAGGGAUAACAAAUGGAAACGUUUGCUAAUACCUUAUACUCCUUAUUAACAGAAGUUAAUAAGGGAAAGAUUUAUUGGUAAGAAAUUAGCCUGUAUUGUAUCAGUUAGUUGGUGGGGUAAUGGCUUACCAAGACUAUGACACAUAACUGGUUUGAGAGGAUGAUCAGUCACACUGGAACUGAGACACGGUCCAGACUCCUACGGGAGGCAGCAGUGGGGAAUAUUGCACAAUGGACGAAAGUCUGAUGCAGCAACGCCGCGUGGAGGAUGACACAUUUCGGUGCGUAAACUCCUUUUAUAUGAGAAGAUAAUGACGGUAUUAUAUGAAUAAGCACCGGCUAACUCCGUGCCAGCAGCCGCCGUAA
rnacentral:rRNA from 1 species